UACAGAGGGUGCGAGCGUUGUCCGGAAUUACUGGGCGUAAAGGGCUCGUAGGUGGCCAACUAAGUCAGACGUGAAAUCCCUCAGCUUAACUGGGGAACUGCGUCUGAUACUGGAUGGCUUGAGUUUGGGAGAGGGAUGCGGAAUUCCAGGUGUAGCGGUGAAAUGCGUAGAUAUCUGGAGGAACACCGGUGGCGAAGGCGGCAUCCUGGACCAAUACUGACACUGAGGAGCGAAAGCCAGGGGAGCAAACGGG
rnacentral:rRNA from 1 species